AGGCUGUUAAUCUGGGAAGAUCACUACUAUGAACCCUUGCCAUCUCCUUUCCCUCCACGUACUGUUGGGGUGUCUAAUUUUCCAUACCGAGACGGGGAAGGGUGCUGGUUUUCUUCUGAGUCUCAACUGGGGAUUCAGGAGGAGGACAGAGUCGGUGGAUUGAUUAACAAAAUGAUGUUGAAUAAUUCAGUCAGUAUUGCUGGAGAAGGGAUGGUUGGACGGGCAACAUUUACAGGAAACUAUCAGUGGAUUCUUAUGAACAAUUUCAGUGGAGAUGCAUAUCCACCAGAGGUAUAUUCUGAGUUGCAUUACCAA
rnacentral:sRNA from 1 species